rnacentral:misc_RNA from 1 species
AUGGAUCAUUAAACAUAUCUACGUAUCAACCAAUCGUGAACUCUCGUUUUUUCCAACGUGCUCUGUUUCGAUAGGUUUUUUGUUUCGGGGAGUCCCGGCCUCUGAGCCGUCCGAGCUGUAAAAGGCUUUGGCGGUGUACGACGUGCUUGGCUUCUUGGGUCAGAAGACUUGUUGAGACAUCAUGGAGGAAACUUAUUAACCCAUUGUAUUAUCAUCCCCAGUUAUUUUAUUCUUUGUCGCGGCCUAACGGCGGACUUUCUAGUAAGAAAUUUUUGUACAACUCUUAACGAUGGAUAUCUAGGCUCUC